AUUGAACGCUGGCGGCAUGCUUUACACAUGCAAGUCGAACGGCAGCGCGGGCUUCGGCCUGGCGGCGAGUGGCGAACGGGUGAGUAAUGCAUCGGAACGUGCCCAGUAGUGGGGGAUAGCCCGGCGAAAGCCGGAUUAAUACCGCAUACGACCUGAGGGUGAAAGCGGGGGACCGAAAGGCCUCGCGCUAUUGGAGCGGCCGAUGUCGGAUUAGCUAGUUGGUGGGGUAAAGGCUUACCAAGGCGACGAUCCGUAGCUGGUCUGAGAGGACGACCAGCCACACUGGGACUGAGACACGGCCCAGACUCCUACGGGAGGCAGCAGUGGGGAAUUUUGGACAAUGGGGGCAACCCUGAUCCAGCCAUGCCGCGUGCGGGAAGAAGGCCUUCGGGUUGUAAACCGCUUUUGUUCGGGAAGAAAUCCUCUGGGCUAAUACCCCGGGGGGAUGACGGUACCAGAAGAAUAAGCACCGGCUAACUACGUG
rnacentral:rRNA from 1 species